GUGGGGAAUAUUGGGCAAUGGGGGAAACCCUGACCCAGCGACGCCGCGUGAGGGAAGACGGCCUUCGGGUUGUAAACCUCUUUUGUACGGGAAGAAGGAAGUGACGGUACUGUACGAAUAAGUCCCGGCUAACUACGUGCCAGCAGCCGCGGUAAUACGUAGGGGACGAGCGUUGUCCGGAAUUACUGGGCGUCAAGGGCGCGCAGGCUGUGCUGCAAGUCAGCUGUGAAAUGUCUGGGCUUAACCCGGGCAUGCGGUUGAGACUGCAGUGCUGGAGUGCUGUAGAGGCAAGUGGAAUUCCCAGUGUAGCGGUGAAAUGCGUAGAUAUUGGGAAGAACACCGGUGGCGAAGGCGACUUGCUGGGCAGCAACUGACGCUGAGGCGCGAAAGCCAGGGGAGCAAACGGGAUUAGAAACCCGGGUAGUCC
rnacentral:rRNA from 1 species